GAUCCUGCCGGACCCCACUGCUAUCGGGAUAGGACUAAGACAUGCUAGUCGAGCGCUCUUUAGCCAUGAUAAGAGCGCGGCGUACAGCUCAGUAACACGUGGCUAACCUGCCCCUGGGACAGAGACACCCCCGGGAAACUGGGGCUAAUCUCCGAUAGGUGAAGAACUCUGGAAUGAGUCUCCGCCCAAAAGACGCUUACGCCAUGCUUGUAGGCGUCGCCCAAGGAUGGGGCCGCGACCGAUCAGGUUGUUGGUGAGGUAACGGCUCACCAAGCCUUUUACCGGUACGGGCCGUGAGAGCGGGAGCCCGGAGAUGGGCACUGAGACAAGGGCCCAGGCCCUACGGGGCGCAGCAGUCGCGCAAACUUUGCAAUACACGAAAGUGUGACAGGGUUAUCCCGAGUGCCGCCCGCUGAGGGUGGCUUUUGCUCAGUAUAGCAAGCUGGGAGAAUAAGGAGAGGGCAAGUCUGGUGUCAGCCGCCGCGGUAAUACCAGCUCUCCGAGUGGUGUGGAUGUUUAUUGGGCCUAAAGCAUCCGUAGCUUGCUGAGCCAGUCCCCUGUUAAACCCAACGAAUUAAUCGUUGGUUUGCGGGGGAUACUGCUCAGCUAGGGGACGAGAGAGGCCGACGGUAUUUUCGGGGUAGGGGUGAAAUCCUAUAAUCCCGGGAAGACCACCAGUGGCGAAGGCUGUCGGCUAGAACGCGCCCGACGGUGAGGGAUGAAAGCUGGGGGAGCGAACCGGAUUAGAUACCCGGGUAGUCCCAGCUGUAAACUAUGCAGGCUAGGUGUUUGAGCGGCCACGCGCCGCUCUAGUGCCGCAGGGAAGCUGUUAAGCCUGCCGCCUGGGGAGUACGGUCGCAAGAUUGAAACUUAAAGGAAUUGGCGGGGGAGCACCACAAGGGGUGAAGCUUGCGGUUUAAUUGGAUUCAACGCCGGG
rnacentral:rRNA from 1 species